rnacentral:rRNA from 1 species
GACAGAGGGUGCAAGCGUUGUUCGGAAUUACUGGGCGUAAAGGGCGCGUAGGCGGUCCGCUAAGUUCGGCGUGAAAUCCCCUGGCUCAACUGGGGAACGGCGCUGGAUACUGGUGGACUCGAGUACCGGAGAGGAGAGUGGAAUUCCUGGUGUAGCGGUGAAAUGCGUAGAUAUCAGGAGGAACACCGGUGGCGAAGGCGGCAUCCUGGACCAACACUGACGCUGAGUGAGCGAAAGCCAGGGGAGCAAACGGG